rnacentral:rRNA from 1 species
CCUACGGGAGGCAGCAGUGGGGAAUAUUGCGCAAUGGGCGAAAGCCUGACGCAGCGACGCCGCGUGAGGGAUGAAGGUCUUCGGAUCGUAAACCUUCGUCAGCAGGGAAGAACGGUCCCUGGGCCAAUCAGCCGUGAAUUGACGGUACCUGCAAAGGAAGCACCGGCCAACGCCGGGCCAGCAGCCGCGGUAAAUCGGAGGGUGGGAGCGUUAAUCGGAAUUACUGGGCGUAAAGCGCUCGUAGGCGGUAUGUCAAGUCAAGGGUGAAAUCCCCGCGCUCAACGUGGGAACUGCCGUUGAAACUGGCAAACUGGAGUGUGUGAGAGGAUAGUGGAAUGCCAGGUGUAGGAGUGAAAUCCGUAGAUAUCUGGAGGAACAUCAGUGGCGAAGGCGACUAUCUGGCACAUAACUGACGCUGAGGAGCGAAAGCGUGGGUAGCAAACAGGAUUAGAUACCCCUGUAGUC